rnacentral:rRNA from 1 species
UACCAGCACCCCGAGUGGUCGGGACGAUUAUUGGGCCUAAAGCAUCCGUAGCCGGUUCUACAAGUCUUCCGUUAAAUCCACCUGCUUAACAGAUGGGCUGCGGAGGAUACUAUGGAGCUAGGAGGCGGGAGAGGCAAGCGGUACUUAGUGGGUAGGGGUAAAAUCCGUUGAUCCAUUGAAGACCACCAGUGGCGAAGGCGGCUUGCCAGAACGCACUCGACGGUGAGGGAUGAAAGCUGGGGGAGCAAACCG